GGAGGGCAAGUCUGGUGCCAGCAGCCGCGGUAAUUCCAGCUCCAAUAGCGUAUAUUAAAGUUGUUGCAGUUAAAAAGCUCGUAGUUGGAUUUCUGUUAAUAAUUUAUAUAUAAUAUUUAACAUAUUUAUAUAAUAUUAACAUAAUUCAUAUUACUAUUUAUAGUAUAUGAAACUUUACUUUGAGAAAAUUAGAGUGCUUAAAGCAGGCUUUUGCCUUGAAUACUAGAGCAUGGAAUAAUAUUAAAGAUUUUUAUCUUUCUUAUUGGUUCUAAGAUAGAAAUAAUGAUUAAUAGGGACAGUUGGGGGCAUUUGUAUUUAACAGUUAGAGGUGAAAUUCUUAGAUUUGUUAAAGACAAACUAAUGCGAAAGCAUUUGCCAAGGAUGUUUUCAUUAAUCAAGAACGAAAGUUAGGGGAUCGAAGACGAUCAGAUACCGUCGUAGUCUUAACC
rnacentral:rRNA from 1 species